ACCUGAACUCAGACGUGAUUACUCGCUGAACUUAAGCAUAUCAUUUAGCGGAGGA
rnacentral:rRNA from 1 species